CCGCCCAAGGCCCGCUCCGCCCUCACCGCUACCCGCAACGCCGCUGCCGGAGGUCCGGCCGGCGAAGCCGCGCCGCGCCCAGGGAUGGCGCGGCGGGGCGGUUCUGUCUCCCUACCUCCUGCCAGAGCCCACACCCCACCAUACGUAGAUCUGGCCGGGAGCCCCUCCACCACCAUCCCCGCCCCUCCCGUGCGGCCUUCCUCGUCUCUGGUGAUGAAGUUCGUCCUCGGAUCCGUGACGACGGCGCCUCGGUGACUCCCCCACGCAUGCGGCUUGGCCGGCCCAGAUCCGAUCUGGCGACCCCCCCCCCUUCUGACUGGCUGCUGCGUCCUCCGGCCCGGCGUGCCCGCCUCCUCCCUUGGCAGCGGGGACUUGGUCUUGCUCCUCCCCUGGCCGCAUCCUCCCUCGGCAGCACUCUCUCUUCAUGUUGCAUUCUUGCUGGUGGUGGUCCUUGAGUUUGGGUGUGACUGGCCAUUAAGCUUGGUGGCUCAUAAUAUUUGCUCCAUGGAAACCAAGCAUACCACGGGAGGAUUCAAAGAAUUUCUAUUGGGAAAUCAAAGGGGGCAAUAACUUCAAUUGGGAGAAGUCGCUAGAAAAGAAGGAGACCUCUACCUGGUAACCAC